rnacentral:rRNA from 1 species
UACGUAGGGUGCAAGCGUUGCCCGGAUUUAUUGGGCGUAAAGGGCGCGCAGGCGGCUACGCACGUCCGUUGUGAAAUCGCUCGGCUCAACUGGGCGGGGUCGGCGGAUACGGCGUAGCUGGAGCAAGCUAGGGGGCAACGGAAUUCCCGGUGUAGUGGUGGAAUGCGUAGAUAUCGGGAGGAACACCAGUGGCGAAGGCGGUUGCCUGGAGCUUUGCUGACGCUGAGGCGCGAAAGCGUGGGGAGCAAACAGG